GUACUCAUUUGAAUUCCACCCGCUGUCCUCCCGUCAUCUUAUCCAUUUCUCCUGCGACAGCAACAGCGGUUUCGCCCAUUCCUUCGUGCGCCGUCGACGGCCGCCGCCGUGCCUCGCGCGGGAGGAUGGAGGGCGCUCGCCAGGAGGUUGGAGGAUGUUCGCCGGGGCGAGUGCUGCGGAGACGGCGUGGCGAGGCGGGGCAGUGGCGGUUGUUGACCGGCCGUCGUGCGUCGCGGGGGAGGAUGGAGGACGCUCGUCGUGGCGGGCGUGGCGGGAGAGACGGGGUACGGCAGCCGCCGCCGUGACAUGCGGAUGGUCUUCCUGUCCGGCCAUCCGCGCAGUCCACACAGGCGAGCUGCCGAUCUGGCUGGGCUGCCUGGCCACGCAGCAGACGGCGGCGGUUCAAGCAACUCCUCGACGCAGGGUAAAGGGUUGGUGGCGCUGGAGUUGGUCGGAAUGGGCAGGCGGACGGUGGGUGACGCGACGCCGCGGCGCCGGCGCGAGGAAUACGGGCGGAUCCGGGGGCGACAGCGACCGAUCUGGCUGCUGGUGCGGCGGCUUGCUCCUGCUCAUCCAUAGAGAGACAGGGCGUGAGGGAGAUAGGAAGAAAGGAGAAGGAGCAGGGGGCGCAGGGUCAGGGACGCGGUCGCUAGCGGUGGCGGCUUCGGCGACCGGCUGGCAGGCUUGCCAGGCAAGGCUGAGUACACUAGCCUGAGAUUCAAUAGAGGUAUGUUUGAUUUUUAGAAUUGGGCUUAACAGCCUAUUUGCUGUGCUUCAUCUUCUGAAUUGGAAACCAUGGCAUGCCUGAAUAUUUUUUCUAGAACAUGAUGCUUGAGUUGGUAAUCAUUCUUGGGUGAUUGGAGUGCAUGACUUGAAUGGAUUUCUGAAUUCCAAACAGUAUGCUGUCGUGAUGUUUGAUUAGGGUCUUCUGUGAAUCCGUACCAAAACCAUGCUUGUAUUUUGUUGUUCCCUCUCUCUAAUCCGGGACAGACACGGUGAUUCUGGUCGGGGCCGUGGCUACGUGAUUCUGGCCGGCGUGCAUCCAUAGUCAGAGGACGCCGAGCCUUCCUCGCUGCCAGCAACAUCAGCUCGUCUCGGCAUGAGGUCUGCACGCGUACCUUACCUUUCUAAUGGAGACUGAACUGAAAUUUUUGUCUGCGCUGCUUCUUGCAGAUAGUCCAUGGUUUGUACAAAUACCCACAUGUAAAUCUUAAUUUAGUUGAUAUUGGAAAAGAUUGUUUCUUUCGAGCAACUAGAAAUAGUACGUAUGUGUUUUUGCCCUGGCUCCCACAUCAGACCAGUGCUCUAAUGUUUGUUCCGAGUUGAGCAUGGCAAUAAUGUACAGUUUGAACUUGUGCUGGCAGAACUUUUUCGCCUUGAAGCAUUCUGUGAAUUACAUAAUGAAUAGCAACAACAUCAGGCCAUUUGAGAGAAGGGGUGUCCCUGGAGUUCUCCCUAAAUCUUACUGCAUUCUUAGUGACAAUGAGGAAUUAUUAUUCACUUGAGAAAAUAAAGAUUAAAUCGGUGAGGCUGUCAAAAGUGAAAUGACUUUCUGAGCUCGACAUUGACUUUUUGAGCUAGAUAUUGACUUUCUGAGUAGCACAAUAUAGGUCCUAUCUGAAGCCUUUUACGCGCCUGUUACAAUGAUCUUUUCAUUUUCCUUUGUAUAUUAACUAGAGAAUAUUAUUGUCUGCUAUAACUGCUGAAAGAUGUCAUAUUCCUUUGUUAUAAUGGUAUUUGCAGUAGGAGUGUAUGCCUCUCAUUCAAAGAAGAGGCUCGACAAUCUUUUGGAUGGACUUAUGAUUACCACAUAUAUGAUCUUAUGAAGCAGGAGUUGAGAACUACAAAAUCCAUCUACUCCUAGAAUCGAGCUGGUUGAAGUUGGGCCUUCAAUGGACCUGGUAGUUAGGUGGCACCGACGUUUUGUAAAGCCAAUUUUUGAUGAGGAAAAGCACCCAAAAAAAGUUUAGUGGAAGUGGAUUAGAUUGUUUGUAGUCAUAUGCUCUUGAGAAAUUUUGCGCUUUCUUUAUUUCUUCUGAUUAUAAUUCUGUUUAUUUCUAACUGACAUUGAUAUGCAAAAGAAAUCCUGUGAUUUUUUUGCCCUCUCAUUGACCAUUUAAUUUUUCAGUCAUAGCUAUAUACAAAGAAGUAUUGUACCAUAUAGUUUUGUGUUUUCGGAAACAUCUAAAGGCCUGUUACAUGCAUCAUUUUCUCUUUCAUAUCCUUCAUCUCAAACUGAAAAUAUGAACCAUUUUGUUGAUAUGUACAUUAGUUGCAAGGUGAGUAAAUAGUGGUCGACGAUGUGGCUGGAUGUACAUGAGCAUAUGUUGUAUCUUUGACGCCAUUCAUUUUGAAUCAUUAGAAUAAUAAAAGAGGUUUGUUUGGAUAAUUAUUUUCCAGGUUUCUAAACACAUUUAUUUAUCUAUUUUGUAUCCAUUGCAACACAUAUGUUUCCCUAAAUAAAAUGACUGUACAAUUGUGUGAACUGAGUGGCUGGUCGUUACGGUAGAUUAAAUUCCUCACAGUAAGAAUCUUUGCCUGACGCUACAAAAAAAAUCUAUGUUUUGUAGCAGGAUUAGUGAUCAAAUAUAUCCUUUUUAUUGUAAAUAUUUUAGUCUGCUACUUUGUUCAUUAAUUUUUCUAGGCAUUAUUCUUAAGUUUUAUUUCAAAGCAAAAUCAUAUUGAGCUAUCUACAAGUUAGAAUUGUCCAAAACAGUUUCUGUAACAUUAUUGUAUAUCAUGUGUUUUCUCUUUUAUUCAUAACAUAAUAUGCAGUCACACAAUUUAUAUCUUGGUUGUGAAUUCCAGAGGGGAAGAUAGCCUUUCUGGCAGUUAGAGCUUCGUCACUUGCUGAUCUAACAAUAUAGACAAGCAAUGCAAGCCAACAAAGAAAAUUAGUUAGGGAAGCACCGAGUUCGCCAGAGGUAGCAGAACGUUUGUCGAGCCAUCCAAUAUCGCCAACGGUGGCUACACUAGAGAUAAUUUGCUUCAGUUCAUCGAACUACCUGCUGAAACAUGUGUAUUGUUUCUCAAUAUAUUGGGCAUCUAUCCACCUCUCAUGAGAUCUCUGAAUUUUCGACGCAUAUUGUAUUUGCUGAAUUAUUUCCUCCAGAUAACUAUGCUUGAAUUCACAAAUGCGUGCAAUGCUUUCAAGUAGAGGUUAGUUCAAUACUUAAGUUGUGCUAUUCCUCUUUCAAGUUUUUGGUCCUAGAAGUGUAAUACUUGGUAGGUGAGCUGCAAAAACGGAAUGUACAUGGCCUGAAUUUAUAUUUCAGAGUGUAUAAUCUGAUUCAGAGUAUUUUGACCCCUUGCGUUCUAAAACGUUUUGUUGUA